GGAUGAACGCUGGCGGCGUGCUUAACACAUGCAAGUCGAACGGAAAGGCCCAAGCUUGCUUGGGUACUCGAGUGGCGAACGGGUGAGUAACACGUGGGGGAUCUGCCCUGCACUUCGGGAUAAGCCUGGGAAACUGGGUCUAAUACCGGAUAGGACGAUGGUUUGGAUGCCAUUGUGGAAAGUUUUUUCGGUGUGGGAUGAGCUCGCGGCCUAUCAGCUUGUUGGUGGGGUAAUGGCCUACCAAGGCGUCGACGGGUAGCCGGCCUGAGAGGGUGUACGGCCACAUUGGGACUGAGAUACGGCCCAGACUCCUACGGGAGGCAGCAGUGGGGAAUAUUGCACAAUGGGCGCAAGCCUGAUGCAGCGACGCCGCGUGGGGGAUGACGGCCUUCGGGUUGUAAACUCCUUUCGCUAGGGACGAAGCGUUUUUGUGACGGUACCUGGAGAAGAAGCACCGGCUAACUACGUG
rnacentral:rRNA from 1 species